GUGGCCAUAGUUCAGUCGGUAGAACGCCUGGUUGUGAUCCAGGAGGUCGCGGGUUCAAGUCCCGUUGGUCACC
rnacentral:tRNA from 1 species